GCAUUGUUUGCAAUGAGAGGUGAGCAGUCCCCUUGACAAGGAUGGAAGAGGCCCUUGGGCCUGACAGCACACACACGGUUAAGACUUUGCCACCUAUUCGUGGCAUUGAACCAUUGUUUUUG
ensembl:snRNA